rnacentral:rRNA from 1 species
GAUGAACGCUAGCUACAGGCUUAACACAUGCAAGUCGAGGGACCGGCGCACGGGAGAGUAACACGUAAAAAACCUGCGCUUUACGCGGUGAUUGCCUUACAAAAGAACGAUUAAUACCCGAUAUAAAGGAUGGGGAUGCGUUGCAUUGGGUUGUUGGUGAGGUGACGGCCCACCAAGCCUUCGCUGGAUAGGGGUUCUGAGAGGAAGGUCCCCCACAGUGGAACUGAGACACGGUCCAAACGCCUACGUGAGGCAGGAGUGAGGAAUAUUGGUCAAUGGGCGUUAGCCUGAACCAGCCAAGUAGCGUGAAGGAUGAAGGCUUAUGGGUCGUAAACUUCUUUUAUAUAAGAAUAUGUAUUAUAUGAAUAAGGAUCGGCUAACUCCGUGCCAGCAGCCGCGGUAAUAC